GCCUUCUGAUGCAUCCACCCCCAUCCCUGGCAGUAUGGCAGCCUGGACGUGCGGAACAAGACAGUGGAGGAAGUCUAUGUGGAGAUGCUGAAGCCCAGGGAUGGCGUCCGCCUGAAGGUGCAGUACCGCCCUGAGGAGUUCACGAAGGCCAAGGGCCUGCCUGGUGACAGCUUCUACAUCAGGGCCCUGUACGACCGGCUGGCAGAUGUGGAGCAUGAGUUGAGCUUUAAGAAGGACGACAUCCUCUACGUGGAUGACACCUUGCCCCAGGGCACGUUCGGGUCCUGGAUGGCUUGGCAGCUGGACGAGAAUGCC
rnacentral:sRNA from 1 species